rnacentral:rRNA from 1 species
UACGUAGGGUGCAAGCGUUGUCCGGAAUUAUUGGGCGUAAAGAGCUCGUAGGCGGUUUGUUGCGUCAGCUGUGAAAACCCGCAGCUCAACUGUGGGCUUGCAGCUGAUACGGGCAGGCUUGAGUUCGGUAGGGGAGACUGGAAUUCCUGGUGUAGCGGUGAAAUGCGCAGAUAUCAGGAGGAACACCGAUGGCGAAGGCAGGUCUCUGGGCCGAUACUGACGCUGAGGAGCGAAAGCAUGGGGAGCGAACAGG